rnacentral:rRNA from 1 species
UACGGAGGAUGCAAGCGUUAUCCGGAAUGAUUGGGCGUAAAGCGUCCGUAGGUGGCGAUUCAAGUCUGCUGUUAAAGCGCAGGGCUUAACCCUGUAAAGGCGGUGGAAACUGGAGAGCUAGAGUGUGGUAGGGGUAGAGGGAAUUCCCGGUGUAGCGGUGAAAUGCGUAGAGAUCGGGAAGAACACCAGUGGCGAAAGCGCUCUACUGGGCCACAACUGACACUGAUGGACGAAAGCUAGGGGAGCGAAUGGG